rnacentral:tRNA from 1 species
AUUUAAAUAGCUUAAUAAGAGCACAACAUUGAAGUUGUUGGGGUGAUUUUGAAUCUUUAAAUA